GACGAACGCUGGCGGCGUGCUUAACACAUGCAAGUCGAACGGUAAGGCCCUUCGGGGUACACGAGUGGCGAACGGGUGAGUAACACGUGGGUGAUCUGCCCUGCACUUCGGGAUAAGCCUGGGAAAUUGGGUCUAAUACCGGAUAGGACCACUGCCUGCAUGGGUGGUGGUGGAAAGCUUUUGCGGUGUGGGAUGGGCCCGCGGCCUAUCAGCUUGUGGGUGGGGUGAUGGCCUACCAAGGCGACGACGGGUAGCCGGCCUGAGAGGGUGACCGGCCACACGGGGACUGAGAUACGGCCCAGACUCCUACGGGAGGCAGCAGUGGGGAAUAUUGCACAAUGGGCGCAAGCCUGAUGCAGCGACGCCGCGUGAGGGAUGACGGCCUUCGGGUUGUAAACCUCUUUCAGCACCGACGAAGCGCAAGUGACGGUAGGUGCAGAAGAAGGACCGGCCAACUACGUGCCAGCCGCCGCCGUAA
rnacentral:rRNA from 1 species